UCGUUGCUUGUUUAGGCCGAUUGCGUUGGCGAAUCUGAACCAUUUAUCGCGAUUGAUGUCGUCCGUCCGAUCGCACCUAAAGAGGGAAUGUAUCUGACCCAUUCAUGUGCGCAUAAUUGAAUCUGGGCCGUCAGAUCGCUAGGCACGCGGAUUGUCUGUGUGGCCUCCUGCGUGGCGCCGACAUCAGCGUGUUUUGUCACGCGACGUGCUCUGGUUCACUGUGGCUGCUGACUGGUCUGUCUCAUGUAGUCGAAUUUCUUCUCUUUGUAUUUUGACCCUUUGUUUUCA
rnacentral:lncRNA from 1 species